AUAAGUCAUAUGCAACUUUAUACAAUGUGUAAAUUAAACAUCAAAAAAAUGAGAUUAUAUUUCAGGAUGUAGUUCACAGAAAGAGUUAUUUAUACAGUAUCAGUCUUUACAUCGGAGAGAAAAGUUUGAAUUAGUUCAUAGAAACUUUGGUGGUAAAGACAAAAACUCUCUUCAUUAGUUUUCCCGAAGUUUGUCUGAUUAAGUGUUUCUGUGGGAUUAGAGAUCAGACUAUUCUGGAUUAAAGUCCCAGUUCUGAGGCCUGUACUACGAAGCUGGAUUAACAUAUCCAGGAUAACUCUGCGACAACUCGCUCAACUUCACCGGAUCUCCGCGAUCCCGAUCAGCUGUAGUGGUGUGUCGGUCUUGAACGAACGGAUCAAAAGAACUAGUUCUUUUUGAUGAACGAAAUGAACUAGUUCUCCCCCCCUAAAUGACCCGUUCAAUCCGUUCAGUUCUUUUGAUUGGCUGAAGAGGGACUGCUUGCCUGUCUUAUCCUAUCGUCGCGCCUCGUUCUGUGUGUGGGUGGGGCUUAGAGAAGCCGCAGCAGUACUACUGAGCUGACUGAAAGACCGGAAUGACCGAGUUGACUGAAAGAACGGGUCAAAUGAACGAAAGACCGAGUUGACUGAAAGAACGGGUCAAAUGAACGAAAGACCGAGUUGAACGAAAGAGCCAGACCGAUGAACGAGUUGAACGAAAGACCGAGUGAACGAGAGAUCCAGACGGAUGAACGAGUUGAACGAAAGAUCCAGACGGAUGAACGAGUUGAACGAAAGACCGAGUGAACGAAAGACCCAGACCGAUGAACGAGUUGAACGAGAGACCGAGU